CGCUGGCUCAUCACAUUAUUCACAUAUUUGUAAGAUGAAACUUUCAUUAGCAUGCUAUUAACGAACCCAUCUGUUCACGGAAGCCGCUCACAGCCUGACUUUAUAAGCAGCUUCGCUUGUGUACACCGAGCUAAACGGUCGCAUGCUGAUCGAUAAUUAAUACGGGAAACACAGCUUCAUUUGGGUAGAAGCGCCUCCGAUAUUCGACUGAUACCUACACUAAUGACUGCUGCCUUCUUUCCACUUUCAGCUUCAGCGGUUAAGACUACGGAUCGAAAGGUCACGAGUUCAGAACUCAUCCCCACCAAGCUGAUUCUCUGGAGCAGGACCCUUGACCCUCAAUUACUUAGCUGAAUCCUGUCUCAAUUGGAAGAUGCUCUGGUUCAGAGCCGAGGACGAAUCAGUGUCUUACGUUUGCAGGUGGGCUGUUUUCCUGACCAGGUGCCGUUGGGGAAGCAGAUGCGCUCGGCCGAACCGUACAGCGUGUGUCCCGUGGCGCAGGUGAAGCGAACUUUAACACGCUGAUGAAAGGUU